AAGGCGUCACAGAAGAAGAUGUUCUCCCCCAUCAUCUCCGGUACGAGCCCCUCAAGGUCAUCACCGACCACAAUCCAAGCGGUCGUCAUCAGGUUGACCCAAAUUUCAAAAGAGGCGGAGGAGACCACAGUAGUGAUCCAUUUGAGGCUACGUCACCGAAUAUAUCGGUGUAGGUGACAAUGAAGAAGUGCAGCUAUUUUACAUUGUCGAUGAGUCUGAAAGAGCUCCUGCAGACGAUCCUCUGUUGCUAUGGUUCAAUGGAGGCCCAGGUUGCUCUGGUCUUGCUGGAUUCUCUUUUGAGAGUGGUAUUUUCUCGUCCUUCAUUACAUCAGUUUCUGAAAACAUGUUGCACAAAGCUAUGAAUUUCUGCAGAAGGUAUGCAUCUUAUACAAUCUAUUUGUAAGAAAACUAGUGGCAUUUAUUCCACAGAUUUAAUGAAUAGUCUGCUUUGAAUUUGACAAUUCGUGUUGUCAUGCAGUGGCUGGAGGCACACCCUGCGGAAAAUAUGCUCUACAUUGGUGGUGACUCCUUCUCUGGCA